rnacentral:rRNA from 1 species
AACGAACGCUGGCGGCGCGUCUUAACCAUGCAAGUCGAGCGGCAGGCAGCAAUGCCGAGAGCGGCGGACUGGUGAGUAACACGUGGAUAACGUACCCCGAUGUCCGGGACAGCCUGUAGAAAUAGAGGGUAAUACCGGAUAGAUCACUGUUUACGUGAGGUAGACAGCGGGAAAGGAGCUUCGGCUCCGCGACGGGAUCGGUCUGCGGCCCAUCAGCUGGACGGCGGGGUAAAGGCCCGCCGUGGCGAGGACGGGUAUCCGGCCUGAGAGGGCGGACGGACACAUUGGGACUGAGAUACGGCCCAGACUCCUACGGGAGGCAGCAGGUAAGAAUAUUCCGCAAUGGGGGGAACCCUGACGGAGCGACGCCGCGUGAACGAAGAAGGCCUGAAGGUUGUAAAGUUCUUUUCUGUCCGAGGAAUAAGUUUCGGAGGAAAUGCCGGGACGGUGACGGUAGGGCAGGAAUAAGCACCGGCUAAUUACGUG